rnacentral:rRNA from 1 species
GAUGAACGCUGGCGGCGUGCCUAAUACAUGCAAGUCGAGCGAACAGACGAGGAGCUUGCUCCUCUGACGUUAGCGGCGGACGGGUGAGUAACACGUGGAUAACCUACCUAUAAGACUGGGAUAACUUCGGGAAACCGGAGCUAAUACCGGAUAAUAUAUUGAACCGCAUGGUUCAAUAGUGAAAGACGGUUUUGCUGUCACUUAUAGAUGGAUCCGCGCCGCAUUAGCUAGUUGGUAAGGUAACGGCUUACCAAGGCAACGAUGCGUAGCCGACCUGAGAGGGGGAUCGGCCACACUGGAACUGAGACACGGUCCAGACCCCCACGGGAGGCAGAAGUAGGGAAUCUUCCGCAAUGGGCGAAAGCCUGAGGGAGCAACGCCGCGUGAGUGAGGAAGGUUUUCGGAUCGUAAAACUCUUUUAUUAGGGAAGAAAAAAUUGGUAAGUAACUAUGCACGUUUGGAGGGUACCUAAUCAGAAAGCCACGGCUAACUACGG